CCUACGGGUGGCUGCAGUGAGGAAUAUUGGUCAAUGGACGAGAGUCUGAACCAGCCAAAUAGCGUGAAGGAUGACUGCCCUAUGGGUUGUAAACUUCUUUUAUAUGGGAAUAAAACGUUCCACGUGUGGGAUUUUGUAUGUACCAUAUGAAUAAGGAUCGGCUAACUCCGUGCCAGCAGCCGCGGUAAUACGGAGGAUCCGAGCGUUAUCCGGAUUUAUUGGGUUUAAAGGGAGCGUAGGUGGAUUGUUAAGUCAGUUGUGAAAGUUUGCGGCUCAACCGUAAAAUUGCAGUUGAAACUGGCAGUCUUGAGUACAGUAGAGGUGGGCGGAAUUCGUGGUGUAGCGGUGAAAUGCUUAGAUAUCACGAAGAACUCCGAUUGCGAAGGCAGUUCACUGGACUGCAACUGACACUGAGGCUCGAAAGUGUGGGUAUCAAACAGGAUUAGAUACCCUUGUAGUC
rnacentral:rRNA from 1 species